CCCUUAGAUUUCCUGGGCCGCACGCGCGCUACACUGAUGCAUGCAACGAGUUUAUAACCUUGGCCUGAAAGGUCUGGGUAAUCUUUUGAACGUGCAUCGUGAUAGGGAUAGAUUAUUGCAAUUGUUAAUCUUGAACGAGGAAUUCCUAGUAAACGCGAGUCAUCAGCUCGCAUUGAUUACGUCCCUGCCCUUUGUACACACCGCCCGUCGCACCUACCGAUUGAAUGGUUCGGUGAAGAUCUCGGACUUCGAUAUUUAUUCUUUAUUGAGUUUAUAUUGUGGGAAGUUAUCUAAACCUCAUCAUUUAGAGGAAGGUGAAGUCGUAACA
rnacentral:rRNA from 1 species